GAGUUUGAUCAUGGUUCAGGAUGAACGCUAGCGACAGGCUUAACACAUGCAAGUCGAGGGGCAUCACGGGAGUAGCAAUACAACUGGUGGCGACCGGCGCACGGGUGAGUAACGCGUAUGCAACCUACCUAUCAGAGGGGAAUAACCCGGCGAAAGUCGGACUAAUACCGCAUAAAACAGGGGCACCGCAUGGUGAUAUUUGUUAAAGAAAUUCGCUGAUAGAUGGGCAUGCGUUCCAUUAGGUAGUUGGUGAGGUAACGGCUCACCAAGCCGACGAUGGAUAGGGGAACUGAGAGGUUGGUCCCCCACACUGGUACUGAGACACGGACCAGACUCCUACGGGAGGCAUCAGUGAGGAAUAUUGGUCAAUGGGCGAGAGCCUGAACCAGCCAAGUCGCGUGAAGGAAGAAGGAUCUAUGGUUCGUAAACUUCUUUUGCAGGGGAAUAAAGUGCAGGACGUGUCCUGUUUUGUAUGUACCCUGAGAAUAAGGAUCGGCUAACUCCGUGCCAGCAGCCGCGGUAAUAC
rnacentral:rRNA from 1 species